GCCCGGGUGGCGGAAUGGUAGACGCUGAGGACUUAAAAUCCUUUGUCCGUUAGGACGUGCGGGUUCGAGUCCCGCCUCGGGCACCA
rnacentral:tRNA from 1 species